CAGGUGGUGCAUGGUUGUCGUCAGCUCGUGUCGUGAGAUGUUGGGUUAAGUCCCGCAACGAGCGCAACCCUUGUCUUUAGUUGCCAUCAUUAAGUUGGGCACUCUAAAGAGACUGCCGAUGACAAAUCGGAGGAAGGUGGGGAUGACGUCAAAUCAUCAUGCCCUUUAUGUCCUGGGCUACACACGUGCUACAAUGGUCGGUACAACGAGAAGCAAGUCAGCGAUGGCAAGCAAAUCUCUAAAAGCCGAUCCCAGUUCGGAUUGCAGGCUGCAACUCGCCUGCAUGAAGUCGGAGUUGCUAGUAAUCGCGGAUCAGAAUGCCGCGGUGAAUGCGUUCCCGGGUCUU
rnacentral:rRNA from 2 species